CCUACGGGAGGCAGCAGUGAGGAAUAUUGGUCAAUGGGCGCGAGCCUGAACCAGCCAAGUCGCGUGAGGGAAGACGGUCCUAUGGAUUGUAAACCUCUUUUGUCGGGGAGCACAAGACGCCACGCGUGGCGUUCCGAGAGUACCCGAAGAAAAAGCAUCGGCUAACUCCGUGCCAGCAGCCGCGGUAAUACGGAGGAUGCGAGCGUUAUCCGGAUGUAUUGGGGUUAAGGGGUGCGCAGGCGGAAGAGCAAGUCAGCGGUAAAAUUGAGAGGCUCAACCUCUUCGAGCCGUUGAAACUGGUUUUCUUGAGUGAGUGAGAAGUAUGCGGAAUGCGUGGUGUAGCGGUGAAAUGCAUAGAUAUCACGCAGAACUCCGAUUGCGAAGGCAGCAUACCGGCGCUCAACUGACGCUCAUGCACGAAAGUGUGGGUAUCGAACAGGAUUAGAUACCCGAGUAGUC
rnacentral:rRNA from 1 species